CAGGUAGGCGGCUUGAAAAGUGGGGAGUGAAAUCCACCGGCUCAAUCGGUGAAUGGCUUUCCAAACUUUCGGGCUUGAGUGUGGGAGAGGAGAAUGGAACUCCUGGUGUAGAGGUGAAAUUCGUAGAUAUCAGGAGGAACACCAUUGGCGAAGGCGAUUCUCUGGACCACUACUGACGCUGAACUGCGAAAGCUAGGGGAGAGAACAGGAUUAGAUACCCUGGUAGUCC
rnacentral:rRNA from 1 species